UACGGGGGGGGCAAGCGUUGUUCGGAAUUACUGGGCGUAAAGGGCUCGUAGGCGGCCAACUAAGUCAGACGUGAAAUCCCUCGGCUUAACCGGGGAACUGCGUCUGAUACUGGUUGGCUUGAAUCCGGGAGAGGGAUGUGGAAUUCCCGGUGUAGCGGUGAAAUGUGUAGAGAUCGGGAGGAACACCGGUGGCGAAGGCGGGUCUCUGGGCAUCUCCUGACGCUGAGACGCGAAAGCGUGGGGAGCAAACAGG
rnacentral:rRNA from 1 species